UAUGUUUAUUGUGUAAAACGAUUGCACCGUUGUUGGAAAAAGUAUUUUAGUUUCUGUUGGUAUUUCGAUUAGAUUGAUUAUUCAAUGAUGAUUUUAAAUAAAAUCCAUUUUUCCAAAGCUUCUGUGCUAUUUAUAAGAUUUCUGAAAUUAGAAAUGUUUCAUAGCUAGUGAAAACAAAGUGGAUAAUUGAUUAGCGGAUGCGAAAUCCAUAAAAGUUUGAAUCGGUUUGCACGAUAUUAACACAUAUUCAAUGUCAUAACAUAGUGAUUUUUUUUUGUAAAAGUAACAUGACAAACACUUUGUUGCAGAGUUUUCAAAAUCCAUCAGAAUCGUGAAUAACCGAAACACACAUUGUAAAAUGAAAUUAUAUUUAUGCAAGAGUGAAAUGAACGCAUUAAGUUUGCAGACUGGUUGAUCAAUGGCAAUGAAUCAUUCGUAUCUGUGGGUGAAAAUGUCAUCGUGUUAAGAUACGUUACUUGUCGUGGAUGCGAACUAUAGCCAGAAGGAAAUAAACCAUAUGGUCCUAUCGACUCACGAAAGAGUAAUCAUCUUUUGACGAAACAACAAAAACAUUAGCCUCGUCCUAGACCACGUAAGGCAUCAACAUUUCGAUGUCACGAAGAAAAACGGACAAUUGGUCGUACUAUCACAUGGAAUCGUGAUACAAACUCCGGUUGCAAUAUACUCUACAAAGAAUCAACAACCAAUACAAGGAACACCCAUAUAGCUUAUUUGCGAAAUAAUUUUUUCGAUGGCGGGACUGUGCGAAGUUCAGCGGUUACUUACUCCGUUAUAAUUCCAAAUGUUUUCUUCUACAUUAAUUCUUGUUCAUAAGAUGAUAUUUUUUGUAACAUUGAAUCUGCAAUGAAAAACAAAUCCAUUAGUUUAGAGAAAAUUUGUAUAUUCAGAUAGUAUUUUCUCCAAAGAAAACAGAAUAAAAAGGAUUCAGCAAUCUGAGUUAGCAAAAUAGCUUUAAAAUUCUUAUAUACCAGAUGACCUUCUCCAAUUAUAAUAUUAUUUGAUUUUUAUGUCGCCCAAAUAUAAUUAAACGAAAUUCAUAUCUUUUAUCGAAAAAGAUGUAAAAUUAG